rnacentral:tRNA from 3 species
GCGCUCGUAGCUCAGCUGGAUAGAGCAUCAGACUUCGAAUCUGAGGGUCGGGAGUUCGAAUCUCUCCGAGCGCGCCA